rnacentral:rRNA from 1 species
UACGUAGGGGGCAAGCGUUGUCCGGAUUUAUUGGGCGUAAAGAGCGUGUAGGCGGCUAGAUAGGUCCGUUGUGAAAACUCGAGGCUCAACCUCGAGACGUCGAUGGAAACCAUCUGGCUAGAGUCCGGAAGAGGAGAGUGGAAUUCCUGGUGUAGCGGUGAAAUGCGCAGAUAUCAGGAAGAACACCCGUGGCGAAGGCGGCUCUCUGGACGUGACUGACGCUGAGACGCGAAAGCGUGGGGAGGCAACAGG